rnacentral:lncRNA from 1 species
UUAAAUCUCACUUCAGAAAUCUCUAAGAGAGUAAAAGAGGGAAAACAUAUAUAAUAAUACUAGUUAAUCAAUGUAGCCUGAACUAUAGUAUUUCACCCCCAUAAUAUGACACCUCAUUGCGAUCCUUGUUCUUGCAAAUAUUAUAUCCGGCUUCAUUCAGUGUUUUGUUUCUCAGACAUAGAAUAUACACAGUUUCCAAGCAGUUUGCUCCUAACUUGGAGUUGAGUAGACGGACAACUUUGUCUCCUUUAAAGUUUAAUCCUGGUCCUUGGAAUUUAAAAGAACUGCAAUCAAGAUGGCCAUUGCUGUAUGGUAUUUUCUACUUUGGAAUUUUUAUUUAAAAUGUGCAUUUUCAUCAGGUAUCAAUUACUAUCUGGAAGAGUCUCAGAGAUCAUCAAAUCCCUGACUGCCACGAUUUUUUUCUAUGCUACAGCGACUCUGUUAAGUGGAUUCAGCCCUGAGACUUUGCAAUCAAAACCAUGGCAUUUGCUCACUGGCUUCUGCUAAGCAGUACAAAUGUUGUACUGCUUGUGUAUGGACCAGUUCGAGCCCACACAGCACACAGGGAUCAACCAGAUCACCUUAGGUUAUCAUGUUCCUUCCUGAGCUGGGCGUCAUAUGUGCACCUCUUAGGGUUGUGGAAAGACACCUACAAGUAAUGAAGUGAGUGAAGUAAAUGUGCAUAAUUCCAUGUUGCUCUUGUUUUAAAUUAACUAUGUUACUGAGUGCUGACAAGUUUAGGAAUCUCUACAAUAGAAGUUAUUCUGAGAGAUAAAGUUGAGAUUAACAAAUAUACCUAAUGCUGGUGGUAGGUGGAGUUUUACAACUACUAUCUUAGCAUCCAUUAUGACUGUAAAACAGUUUAAAAGACAUUGUGUUUUUAACUAGUUCCCAACAUGACCCUCUGUGGUGUUUUUGUUUCUAAGAUUAGAGAAUGAGCUUUGUUGCUUUUACUGUCCAGUCAGCCAGUACAGGCCCCACAGAGGCCGGCUUCCUUAGCGUCUGGAUGUGUACACAUGAAAGCUCAGCUGACAGCAUCAGAUUUUGGGAAAAUAUCACUGAUCCUAAAAUAAAAUACAGGUGAUUUCUGCCCCUAUCUGGUCUCUUGUAUCUGUGGUCUAUCAUUUCCCAGGUGCCAGUUACUGAAAAAAGAAAUAUAAAUAAUAUUUAAAUGAUGUCU